CAAGAUGGUGUUGCGUGAUGUCACCGUUCCCGUCGUCCAGGCCGCAAGGCGUGUUCCAGUGGCCUUACAGGAACCCCUCAAGAUGGAACUGGACCGCAUGCAACGUGCAGGCAUUAUCACGAAAGUGACUGAGCCAACAGACUGGGGAAGCAGCUUGUCCUCGCCGACAUGCUUUCGAGAGCCACAAGCAGGCAAGCGGGUGACACCGACAGCGACGACGUAGAGCUCCACGCAGACGACACCGAUGGAGGGCGCCCCUUCACCUGCCGAGGUGUUAC